rnacentral:SRP_RNA from 1 species
AGCCGGGGUGUUAGCGGUACCUUGUACCUACAAUCCGCUAUAGUAGGGGUGAUGCUGUGCCGAGGGCUGUUUUGGUCAAAGCUGCCUUUGGUUUGUGACGUUGAUAUCUGGGUCUUACGCGGCGGAAAUCUGUGAACCGUGUCAGGUCGGGAACGGAGCAGCACUAAGCAGAAGCUUCUGGGUGCCGUAAGGCAGCCUGGGUUGAGUUUACUGCCAGAGUAACGUUUG